rnacentral:lncRNA from 1 species
UUGUUGUUGCUUUUAUGCAUUUGCACAGAAAUGCAAGUUUUUCAUCGCACAGAAAUGCGAAGCUAGACAACUUGUUGUUGUUUUUGAAAGCGUACAUGAUUGCUAGGUAGCGCAAGAGUCAUUGGGGGAAUUGUAUUUCAUUAAAUAGUGAAAAGUUUACAAGGAUCCACCUCAUUAAAAACCUUGCCUCUAGAAUGGAGCCCCCCUAGCAAGGAAAAGAGUGCGGUCCAUUUGCGAGAAAGUAAAUGCAAUAAAGGAAAUUUGGUGCCCUUGAUGUUGCUUAUAGUUUCACAAGUCGAAGGCGAUGCUAAACGUGAUGGAUAAGGGCAGUACUUGCGCAAGUUGUCCACAUUCCAAGUAUGUGGCAACUCCGCUCCAAGGUAGUCUGCGAGGUAGAAAGAUCCCGGCUUGUUGCUUUGAGUGACAACAUAUGGUCCUUCCCAAGUUUCCUUCAAUUUCCUGAGGUUCGCACAGUUUUUCUUCUUCUUGAUGAUGAUGUCUCCCACCUUGAUUUGUUUUUGGAUCACUUUCUUGUCCCUC